AGGAACUCUCCCCGCCCGGCUCCUUGUGGCGAGGUGCUGGGCCCGGGGUCCGGGGCUCUCCCCCCGCAGCCCUCCCGGGGGCACCGUGGGGCAGGCGGGGAUCGGGAGGAUACAUGAGUGUCCAGACGGGUGGACAGAUGGAUGGACAGACUUCAGAAACACGGAGACCAGAUUUGGGGCUGUUUUUCCAAGCCAGGUGUUCCCUUACUCACAACUCCUGAACUCGCCAUAGGGGAGGCUUACACAGCUCAGCAGAGCAAAGGACAGAGAAACCCAGCACACACCCGGGGGUGCGCAGGACCCCUCCACAGCCUCAGGCACACGGGAGCCGGGCACGCUGCCCCUGUCACAGCCUUGAAAAUUGCCACCUACAUGCCUCUCCUCUCACCCACCUAACAAUUUGGCUAAAAUCUCGGGCACUGACAGCGAACUGACUCCUCGCUGGAAGGAAAGAAGGGAGGAAAGGAGCGGGGCAGAACAGAGGAACGGCUGCGGAGCAGCGAUCUGCGCUACCAGCCCGGGAUGUGCCCGAAUUCCUUCGCAGGGGCUGCACCCGCCCGGGCCGCCGGGGAACGGGCUCUGGGAGCCCUGGGAACCCACGGGCCCGA